GAUGAACGCUAGCUACAGGCUUAACACAUGCAAGUCGAGGGGCAGCGCAGUGUAGCAAUACAUGGGCGGCGACCGGCGCACGGGUGCGUAACGCGUAUCCAACCUUCCCGUUACUCAGGGAUAGCCUUCCGAAAGGGAGAUUAAUACCUGAUGGUGUUCAAAUUCCGCAUGUUAUUUGAACUAAAGAUUUAUCCGUAACGGAUGGGGAUGCGUGACAUUAGGUAGAUGGCGGGGUAACGGCCCACCAUGCCCACGAUGUCUAGGGGUUCUGAGAGGAAGGUCCCCCACACUGGAACUGAGACACGGUCCAGACUCCUACGGGAGGCAGCAGUGAGGAAUAUUGGUCAAUGGUCGGAAGACUGAACCAGCCAAGUAGCGUGAAGGAUGAAGGUUCUAUGGAUUGUAAACUUCUUUUAUACGGGAAUAAAACCACCUACGUGUAGGUGCUUGUAUGUACCGUAUGAAUAAGCAUCGGCUAACUCCGUGCCAGCCGCCGCCGUAAUAC
rnacentral:rRNA from 1 species